rnacentral:rRNA from 1 species
GACAGAGGCCCCGAGCGUUAGGCGGAAUCACUGGGCUUAAAGCGUGUGUAGGCGGAUCGUUAAGUGUCUUGUGAAAUCCCACGGCUCACCCGUGGAACCGCUGGGCAUACUGGCGAUCUUGGGCCAUUCAGGGGCAGCUGGAACAAGCGGUGGAGCGGUGAAAUGCGUAGAUAUCGCUUGGAACGCCAAAGGUGAAAACAGGCUGCUGGGAAUGUGCCGACGCUGAGACACGAAGCCAGGGGAGCGAACGGG